AUACGGAGGGUCCGAGCGUUAUCCGGAAUCAUUGGGUUUAAAGGGUCCGUAGGCGGGAAUCUAAGUCAGUGGUGAAAUCUUGCAGCUCAACUGUAAAAUUGCCAUCGAUACUGGAUUUCUUGAAUUAGUGUGAAGUGGUUAGAAUGUGUAGUGUAGCGGUGAAAUGCAUAGAUAUUACACAGAAUACCAAUUGCGAAGGCAGAUCACUAACACUAUAUUGACGCUAAGGGACGAAAGCGUGGGGAGCGAACAGGAUUAGAAACCCCGGUAGUCC
rnacentral:rRNA from 1 species